AUUGAACGCUGGCGGCAGGCCUAACACAUGCCAGUCGAGCGGAUGAAGGGAGCUUGCUCCUGAAUUCAGCGGCGGACGGGUGAGUAAUGCCUAGGAAUCUGCCUGGUAGUGGGGGAUAACGUCCGGAAACGGGCGCUAAUACCGCAUACGUCCUGAGGGAGAAAGUGGGGGAUCUUCGGACCUCACGCUAUCAGAUGAGCCUAGGUCGGAUUAGCUAGUUGGUGGGGUAAAGGCCUACCAAGGCGACGAUCCGUAACUGGUCUGAGAGGAUGAUCAGUCACACUGGAACUGAGACACGGUCCAGACUCCUACGGGAGGCAGCAGUGGGGAAUAUUGGACAAUGGGCGAAAGCCUGAUCCAGCCAUGCCGCGUGUGUGAAGAAGGUCUUCGGAUUGUAAAGCACUUUAAGUUGGGAGGAAGGGCAGUAAGUUAAAACCUUGCUGUUUUGACGUUACCAACAGAAAAAGCACCGGCUAACUUCGUG
rnacentral:rRNA from 1 species